UCCUGUCUACGAUUUAAAUCCAUCAACAGUUACGUCUGUGCACGAAGCUGGACCAUCUGUGUUCCUAGCACCGUAAAAUUCCACCCACUGCACCCGAUCCGAACACCACCCAGAGUCCGGCACUCGGAACUGAAGCAAGUGGAAAACCUUUCUAUUCUUCCUCGAACAAAACUGCAAGCUCAAUACCAACUGAGUUGUGAUACCCUAAUCCCACACAAACUCACCCUAGGAAUUCGAUUUAGCUAUUGGGUGUCAAAUUUCGCUGGUGGGUAAGCCACACCUUCAACGGAAAUUUGCUACGACAGAUUAAUACAAAGACUCCUCGAAAGUAUCAGUCUUCGUCGUCGUCGAUCACUGAGCCCAUCCACAUCGGUACAACGUUGUUACGCCAUCCGCUAUCAGUUUUUGUGAAGAAAUCGACCCUAGCGCACUACCCAGUUCAUCUCUCGCUGCAUCAAACCAAACUCUCGGAUUACCCAUUUUGAGGCUUGAAAUUUCUAGCAUCGACCAUCACGCGAGAGAUCAAACUUUCGGCAAGGGAAUAGGGCCGGAGACGAAGCCGGUGUGGUGUGAAAGGGGAGAAUUCUAAGCGUGUUGUGAAGGCUGGCUUGUUGCAAAUUUUGAACCAAGGGUUCUGAUAGCUUGUUGAAUAUUUUACAACUUAUAUUAUCAUAUUAAUGGAAAAAUAAAUUUAUAUAAA